rnacentral:rRNA from 1 species
AGACCGGCGCACGGGUGCGUAACGCGUAUGCAACCUACUUUACAGAGGGAUAGCCAGAGAAAUUUUGGAUUUAAUACCUCAUAGUGUUAUUAGAUGGCAUCAUUUGAUAACUAAAGUUCCAACGGUAAAAGAUGGGCAUGCGUCCUAUUAGCUAGAUGGUAAGGUAACGGCUUACCAUGGCUACGAUAGGUAGGGGUCCUGAGAGGGAGAUCCCCCGCACUGGUACUGAGACACGGACCAGACUCCUACGGGAGGCAGCAGUGAGGAAUAUUGGACAAUGGGCGCAAGCCUGAUCCAGCCAUGCCGCGUGCAGGAAGAAGCAUCUAUGGUGUGUAAACUGCUUUUGUACGGGAAGAAACACUCCUACGUGUAGGAGCUUGACGGUACCGUAAGAAUAAGGAUCGGCUAACUCCGUG